GGCAACACUAUCAAAUUGCGGGAAGAUCCUGUCAAGUCCAUGUCACCGCGGCUCACCGAAAGGUGCAGCGCAGCACCGGGUUAACAACCCUGGGUAAGGUAACAGUCCAUGGAAUAGGGAGAAUCCGCAGCCAAGCCCCUAUGACUUUGGGGGUGCAGUUCACAGGCCAAAUGGUAGUGGGCAUCUAACGGUGCUUAAGAUAUGGUCGAGUCCCAAUUGUAAAGUUGGGUACAAGUACUCUGAUUACUACAUGGUGUAGUAGCUUGUUAAAUGCAAAUGUUCCGUAGGUGAACCUGCGGAAGGAUCAUUAAUGAAUCACAAGUCGGCCGUUCUGUGCUGGUGGCAACACAUGUGCACGUCGGUCGCAAAUCCACACACCUGUGCACCUUUGACUUUGGGAUCCGCCUGUCUUUUGACUCGCAGCAGGUCGGCUUUGUGCCGUCCUGGGUCUCAGAGUACUUUUACACACUCUGAAUGUAAUGGAAUGUCUCUGUGCUUAACGCGCAUAUAAACAACUUUCAACAACGGAUCUCUUGGCUCUCGCAUCGAUGAAGAACGCAGCGAAAUGCGAUAAGUAUUGUGAAUUGCAGAGUUCAGUGAAUCAUCGAAUCUUUGAACGCACCUUGCACCCUUUGGUAUUCCGAGGGGUACACCCGUUUGAGUGUCAUUGUAACCUCACUCCGACAACUUUGUUGAUGUCUGGAGGUGGACCUGGACCUUGCCGUGUCACGACGGCUGGUCUGAAAUGCAUGAGUGCACCCUGCUGUAGCAGCGUCUUCAGUGUGAUAAGUAUCUUCACUGAUUCAAGCUCCUUCGGGACACGCUCGUCUGGUGGGCUCUGCGCUUCC
rnacentral:rRNA from 1 species